rnacentral:rRNA from 1 species
AUGCGAGUCUGGAACAAUAUAUUCACUUGGCUAGAUCUCCAUGUCAACACGGCGCCCUGGCAUAGCUUCCACACGGUCAAGGCAUGGUGGGAAGGGGUCAUCGGCCAUGCGCAUCACAAGAAGGCUUUGUCCUCCCAGCUGCAUCUUGUUGGAUGGGAGAUAUGGAAAGAAAGAAAUGCGCGUGUCUUUAGGAAUAAAGCGGCACCAAUGGCGGUGGUGGUUCGUGCUAUAAAGGAAGAAACGUCACUUUGGGCUAUUGCGGGUGUCAAGCAUUUGGGUAAUGUAAUGCCGCGAGAGUAA